rnacentral:ncRNA from 1 species
AUAAAGUUUAAUUUUAGUUUAAAAAUUUAUUAGAUUUUUUAUUUACAUGUAAAUUUUAGUAUGUUAGUAAGAUUAGUUUAAAUAAUUAAUUUUAAUAUAUUUUAUUCGCAGUAUUAAGAUUUAUAAAUUUAAGAAAUUAAGAAAUAUAAAAAAAUUGUAAAUAUUGACAAAAUUUGUGCCAGCAGUUGCGGUUAUACGAAAAAUGUAAAUAAAUUUUAUUGAUUGGUAAUAAAAAUGUUUUAUUUUAAUUAAAGUUAAGUUUAUAAGGUGAAAUUUAAAAUUUAAUUAAAUUAUUAUUAAAGUUAUUUGAUUUUAUUAAAUUUAAAUUUUAAACUAGGAUUAGAUACCCUAUUAUUUUAAAUGUAAAAAAAUUUCAUUUAAUUAGUAUUAGUUAUGAUCUUGAAAUUUAAAAAUUUUGGCGGUAUUUUAGUCUAUUCAGAGGAACCUGUUCUGUAAUUGAUAAUCCACGAUAAAUUUUACUUUAUUAAUUAAUUUGUAUAUCGUCGUUAUUAAGUAUUUUAUAAGAAUAAGAAUGUUUAGUUUUUUAUAUAAAAAAAUAUAUCAGAUCAAGGUGCAGUAUAUAUUAAAGAAGAAAUGGGUUACAAUAAAUUUAUUUAAAUGAAUAAAAAUAUAAAAAUUUUUUUGAAAGUGGAUUUGAGAGUAAUAAUAUUAAGAUUAAUUUUAUGAUUUAAGCUCUAAAAUGUGUACAUAUCGCCCGUCGCUCUUAUUAUAAGAUAAGAUAAGUCGUAACAAAGUAGAUGUACUGGAAAGUGUAUCUAGAAUGA